CACGCCGUAAACGAUGAAUGCUAGGUGUUGGGGGGCAAAGCCCUUCGGUGCCGCCGCAAACGCAGUAAGCAUUCCACCUGGGGAGUACGUUCGCAAGAAUGAAACUCAAAGGAAUUGACG
rnacentral:rRNA from 1 species